CUCUUCCCAACCUACGAAUGCUCCCAGGAACACCUCUAUCUUUUUCCACUGCCAAAUUGCGCGAACGAACCGAACGUCGUUUGGAAUAUAUAUCGCUCCAGGGUAUUUCAUCGGCUAUAUAUUUUGAUAAACCAUGAGGUUUCGUUGUCAAGCAAUUAACUUGGUGGCAUAUGACAUCUACGUCACUUAUGGUUAAGAGGUCACCAUAUCGAAAACGUACUAGGUUCAUGUUGAAUAUUCACUUUGAAUGAGACGAGGGAAAUGAAAUAAGACAUUUUAUACUUUCGUUCCGUCCUUGCCAUUGGUCGAUUCGAUACAUGUCCGUAUAUGGAUAUCACCCUUCCGUUUUUGAAUCAUCCCCGAUCAACAUGAGUCACGUCUGACGAGUCAUAUUGUAACGUUCUUACCUUAUUUGUGGAUAUGAGUCAUUUCAACUGAGCGUAAUUACGAACGAUGGACUUAUGAGUCAU
rnacentral:lncRNA from 1 species